UACGUAGGGGGCAAGCGUUGUCCGGAAUCAUUGGGCGUAAAGCGCGUGUAGGCGGCCCGAUAAGUCCGCUGUGAAAGUCGAGGGCUCAACCCUCGGAUGCCGGUGGAUACUGUCGGGCUAGAGUGCGGGAGAGGCGAGUGGAAUUCCUGGUGUAGCGGUGAAAUGCGCAGAUAUCAGGAGGAACACCGGUGGCGAAGGCGGGUCUCUGGGCCGAUACUGACGCUGAGGAGCGAAAGCGUGGGGAGCGAACAGG
rnacentral:rRNA from 1 species